CUACUAGCGGGGGAUAACUAUUGGAAACGAUAGCUAAUACCGCAUAACAGUGUUUAACACAUGUUAGAUGCUUGAAAGAUGCAAAUGCAUCACUAGUAGAUGGACCUGCGUUGUAUUAGCUAGUUGGUGGGGUAACGGCCUACCAAGGCGACGAUACAUAGCCGACCUGAGAGGGUGAUCGGCCACACUGGGACUGAGACACGGCCCAGACUCCUACGGGAGGCAGCAGUAGGGAAUCUUCGGCAAUGGGGGCAACCCUGACCGAGCAACGCCGCGUGAGUGAAGAAGGUUUUCGGAUCGUAAAGCUCUGUUGUAAGAGAAGAACGUGUGUGAGAGUGGAAAGUUCACACAGUGACGGUAACUUACCAGAAAGGGACGGCUAACUACGUGCCAGCAGCCGCGGUAAUACGUAGGUCCCGAGCGUUGUCCGGAUUUAUUGGGCGUAAAGCGAGCGCAGGCGGUUUAAUAAGUCUGAAGUUAAAGGCAGUGGCUUAACCAUUGUUCGCUUUGGAAACUGUUAAACUU
rnacentral:rRNA from 1 species